UGUGGGAGCUGGCUUGCCUGCGAUGGCGGUGUGUCAGUCACUGAAAAUAUUGACUGUUACACCGCCAUCGCAGGCAAGCCAGCUCCCACA
rnacentral:misc_RNA from 1 species